GUCUGCCAAAAACUGAAAAAUAAAUAUUGGAAUUCUCUCUCUCUCUUUAAAAAAAAAAUACGAGAUUGCAUAAAGAGGAUCUCUUUCAAAUGACAUAAAAGAGUAACAGCCACAAUAAAGCUAUUUCCAUUCUGAGUAAUGUACAAAAUAGAAUUAUGCAACUACAUAUAUAUCAUAAAUGACAAUAGAGGGAGUACAUAAUACUUUAUCUCAGCAUUGCUAAUCAUAAGGAAAUGCAGAUAAAACAAUUAUGUCACCUCAUAUCUCUAAUUAUAACUACUAUUAAAUAUAUAAAUGUUUGAGAAAUUGAGAUUUUGUACAUUGUUUGUGGAAAUAUAAAGAAGUAAGAGUUAUUAUAGAAAACAUCAUGGAAGUUUCUUAGCAAAGUAAAACUAUUGGCACCACAUCAUCCCUUUUCUGAGUAUAUAUCCAAAAAUGUUGAAAUCAGGAUCUCAAAGGAAUAUUUUUACUCCUAUGUUUAUACAGUAUUAUUUUCAAAACUAUAAUAUGGAAACCACCAAAAUGUCCAUGGAAAGACAAUUGCAUAAAGAAAGACUUGUCAGACAAUUAUUAUUCAGCCUUUAAAAGGAAAUGUUUUUGUUUUUGAUGACAAGAGUAGAUCUGAAAGACAUCAUAUUACAUGAAAUAAUUCAGUCACAGAAGAUCAAGUACCGUAUAAUGCUCUUAUUUGAAGCAUUUGAAGUCGUACAUAUAGAAAUAGAUAAUAGAACACACUAGAAGUAGAUAAUAAAUGUGUACUAGGGAUUUAUGGGGGAGGGUUUGGGAGCUUUAAUUAAUGUUAUAAAUUUUUAAUUAUAUAGCAUGAGUAGAUUCUUGAGAACUCUUGUAUAACAUAGUGCCUAUAGAUUCCAAUAAUGUGUUGUGUACUUAAGAGGAUAAAUCUCAUGUUAAGGGUUUGUUGUUCUCUUUGCUUUGUUAACACAAGCAAACAAAAGCAAAGAGAACAAAUAAACAAAAACAAAGCAUAGUAACACAAGGGAAUUUGGGUGAGGGAGAAUUUGUUUAUUCUUUUUAUUGAGAUUGUAACACAAAUUUAUACAGAUGUGCAAACUCACCAAAUUGUAUACCUUAUUUAUGUUUACUUUUCGGGGUUACCAGUUAUGCCUCAAAAACCCCACUAAGAGAAAACAGUAUGUAUAUAUUAAUAUAAAUGAAAUUCUAAAAUUGUUUAAGGGGCAGAGAAAAUUAGGACUAAGAAAACAAAGAAAAAAGUAGAACAAUCAAGGGAAAACAAGGCAGGCUUAAGCACUAAUUUGUCAAUAACUAUGUUGCAGAUUAAAUUAAUGGUCUAAAAAACAGUGAUUAUAAGAUUGGCAGAGUGAAAUUAAAAAUAUGACUCAAUUAUAUGCUGUCUACAAGAAAUAUAAUCACAAAGGCAGGUGGAAAAUAAAAUGAUGGUGAAAGACAUAUUAUUAAAAAUUAAAGGAAAGUAGAAAUGAAUGGUAUCUUAAUAUCUGAUGAUCUAGACUUUAGAGCAAAGAAAAUUACCAGAGGUAUGGAGGAACAUUAUGUAAUGAUAAGAGUUUCAACCCACAAAGACCUCCAUUCUAAAUAUAAAUGUAUUAUUCAACUAGGCUACAAAAUAUGUGAACAAAAAACUUAUAAAAUUGAAAUGAGAAAUUAAUUUUUACAGUUGGAGCUAUCAACACUCCUUUUUCAAGAAUCAGUGAAAUUGGUCAGGACAACUAGACAUAAUAUUAGAUAUAUAAAAGCUGGGCGAGCAACCCCAUUAGCCAACAGGAUCUAAUUGAUAUAUUGUGCUACCUCUAACAAUGGCAAAAUAUACAUUUCUCUUCAAGUGCUCAAGUAAUUCCAUGUUUCUAUAAAACAGAUUUUAACAAGCUUAGAAGAAUUUAAAUCAUACAAAGUGUGUGCAGUGGUGACAGAGAUGAAAGGAAAAUAUUCAAACACUUGGAAACAAAACAACACACUUGUAAAUAUAUUGAUUAAAGAAAAAGUCUUAAAGAAUUAAAGCAUAACUGGAAGAAAAUAUAAACAUUAAAUAUUAUAAAAUUUGUGGGACAUAGCUAAAGCAAUUCUGAGAUGAAAAUUUAUAACACUAAUAUAGAAAAGAAGGACUACUUCAAAUCUUCAAAUCAAUGAUCUACCCCACAAAAGAACUAGAAGAACAAGGGAGAAAUAGAUAGCAAUAAAAUAAUCAUGGUGGUUUUCAAUAUCUCACGUUCAUCAAUGGACAGAUAAAUCAGAAAAUUUGUAGGUAAAUAAUGAUAUUGAAAAGUACUUAAGAGAAGAAUGGACCCAACGGACAUACAGAUCUUUACAUCUAGCAGCAGUAGAAUACACAUUCUUCUUUUCCUGCACGUGGAACAUUCCCUGGGAUAGAAUAUAUCAGGCCACAAAACUAAUCUUAACAUAGCUUAGAAGUUCUAAAUCAUAUCAAGUAUCAUUUUUGUCACAGUGAAACUAGAAAUCAAUAAUAGAAGAAUUUUUUUAGAAAUUCACAAAUAUAUAAAUUAAACAUUUUUGAAUAACCAAUUGAUCAAAAAAGAAGUCAAAAUAAAAUUUAAAACUGUCUUGAGACAAAUGACAAUAGAAACACAACAUACACAACAUAUGAUACAGCAAAAGCAGUUCAAAGAGAAAAUUUAUAGCAGUAAAUACCUACAUUAGAAAAGAAGACAGAUGCUGGGUGUGGUGGUGCACUCCUGUAAUCCCAGCAGCCUGGGAGGCUGAGUUCAAAGCCUCAGUAAUGACAAGGCCCUAAGCAACCCAGUGAGAUCUUGUCUCUAAAUACAAAGUAGGGCUGGGAAUGUGGCUUAGUGUUCGAGUGCCCCUGAAUUCAAUUCCCAGUACAGAAGGAGAAGGAGAAGGGGAAGAAGAAAGACUACCAAUAAGAGAAGAGUAAUAAAUCAGAGAACAAAAAAGCCACAGGGGAAAAAAAAAUCAAUGACAUUAAGAGUUGCUUUGAAAAAUACAAACAGAUCAACAAAACUACCUAGAUAAAGAAAAAAUUAGAAUAUUCAAACAUAAAAUAGGGAAUCAAAAUGGAGGCAUUACAAAGAAGCUCCAGAAGCAAAAAAGAUUGUACAGGACUAUUAUGAACGAUUGUUUGCCAACUAACUUGCUAAUCCAGUGGGUUGUGUGUAUAUUUUUAGAAAAUUGAUUGAAUCAGGAAGAAAUAACCUGAAUAGGCCAAUAAUGAACAAAGAGAUUCAAGAAUGUUUUAGUCAGCUUUCUUCACACUGUAUACAAAAGAUCUGACAAGAACAAUUUUAAAGGGGGAAAAGUUUUAUUUGGUGCUCACAGUUUCAGAGGUCUCAGUCCACAGAUAGCUGACUCCAUUCCUCAGGGUUAGAGGUGAGGCAAGACAUCAUAGUGGAAGAGUGUGGUGGAGGAAACUGGCUCAGAACAUCACACCAAAGGAGGGAGAGGGAGAGGAAGAAGGGUGGGGAGAAGUAUGAGCUCAUGCUCUCUCCUUUCCACAGACAAAAUAUAAAUUCCAAAGGCAUGCCCCGAUGACCCACCUCCUCCAUCCACACCCUACCUGCCUACAGUUACCACCCAGUUAAUCCCUAUCAGGACAUUAAUGCAUUGAUUAGGUCAAGGCUAUCAUACCCUGAUUGAUUUACUUCUAAACUUUCUUAUGUUGUCUUAAACAUGAACUUUUGGGAGACAUCUAGUAUCUAACCAUAUUAAAGAGGUACUGAAAAACCUCCCAACAAAGAAUAUAGUUCAGGACCAAAUGCUUCAAUCCUGAAUUCUACCAAGUUUUCAAAGAAGAAUUAAAAUACCUCUUACACUCUUAAAAAAAAAAAAAAGCAGGAGGUUAUAUCUGAUAACAGGCCAUCAUUACCUUGAUGCUUAAACCAUACAGAUACCACAUGAAAAGAAAAUUAUAGUAUCUGUAACAUUUAUGGUAAAAUCCUAAGUAAAAUAUAGUGGGAAGAGAGAGGAAGAUGGCAGAAUAUAAAGUUUGCUUUCCUGGUUGCUAUAUGGUUUGAAACCAAGAAGAGCAGACAGGCAGCUUUUCAGCAAUCUGGGUGAAUGAACCAAAAUUAGGGGGGACAUUAAUGGAAUUUAAUACUGGACUCUCAGAACAGAUUGGGGACUCAGGAGAUCAAAUAUAAUAAAGUGAGGAAGAAAUCUCCAGUGCUACAACUGCAGCAGUAACUGGAGGUACAAGCCAGAAUACUUCUUCUGUGAAUGCAGUUAGCCAAUAAGGGAAUUAAAGGAACUCCCUUUCUCAGGAACACUGAGACAUGUCAGGAUACAGAGAAUUUAGAGAUCAAAGUCACUGACUUUUAAAAGAGUGAGGUGUGCUGCACAAAAUUCUUGUAUGGGAAAGAAACCACCAUCUCUCAGCUUUUGGUAGAUGUGGAAGGAAUUAUUCUGCAGUUGUGUUGCAGGGGCUGGUAGCUAGGGGAGACUAUUUCUGGCAGACCCAAGUCUGGCUUGAAAAACAAGCUGGACAAACCCACAGUGCAUGACAGAUACCUAAGUGACCAGGAGAAAAAUCAAGUGUGGAGAAAGGUUUACACAGGGAACUACUGGUCAUGGAAACCCACCUGGUUUCCCUUACCCUCCAGUCUGGCUGUCUGCUGGAUUGGUUGGGAGAGAAACACCUGACUAGGAAUUCAAAAGGGUUUGUGGGGGAGAAAUUGAGUUUGGAGACUGAAUCAGAGACCAGAAAUCAUGGGGUCUUCAGGUGACAUAGUGGGUUAACAACAAGCACCUAUACCACACAAGUGGAACCAUAGUGGCUUCCUGUGGCAUACUCUUCCUGGAGGUGAGCUGAUUUAAAAUCACCAGACCAAUUGGCAUUCAGAGAAGAGACUGGAGCAUACCUAAGCCAAAAACCCACCUCUAGAAGUUCUGCCUUCAGGAUUAACUUCUCACCCUAGCAAUCCCAUUAACUGCUGAGGGUAGAGAAUGCAUCAUAUUACAAACAAACCCAUCUAAAUACUGAGAAAGUAAGCCAGGUAUCUUUUGAACUUCAGUGGAAACAAUUGUUUAAUUUUUCUCUCUCACAUUUCUACUAUUUUUG
rnacentral:lncRNA from 1 species